rnacentral:rRNA from 1 species
GUGGGGAAUUUUGGACAAUGGGCGCAAGCCUGAUCCAGCAAUGCCGCGUGCAGGAAGAAGGCCUUCGGGUUGUAAACUGCUUUUGUCAGGGAAGAAAUCUUCUGGGCUAAUACCCCGGGAGGAUGACGGUACCUGAAGAAUAAGCACCGGCUAACUACGUGCCAGCAGCCGCGGUAAUACGUAGGGUGCGAGCGUUAAUCGGAAUUACUGGGCGUAAAGCGUGCGCAGGCGGCUUUGCAAGACAGAUGUGAAAUCCCCGGGCUCAACCUGGGAACUGCAUGUGUGACUGCAAGGCUAGAGUACGGCAGAGGGGGAUGGAAUUCCGCGUGUAGCAGUGAAAUGCGUAGAUAUGCGGAGGAACACCAAUGGCGAAGGCAAUCCCCUGGGCCUGUACUGACGCUCAUGCACGAAAGCGUGGGGAGCAAACAGGAUUAGAAACCCGGGUAGUCC